rnacentral:rRNA from 1 species
GAUGAACGCUAGCGGCAGGCUUAAUACACGCAAGUCGAGGGGCAGCAUGACUGUAGCAAUACAGUUGAUGGCGACCGGCAAACGGGUGCGGAACACGUACAGAACGUUCCUUCGAGCGGGGAAUAGCCCAGAGAAAUUUGGAUUAAUACCCCAUAGUAUUACGGAGUGGCAUCACUUUGUAAUUAAAGAUUUAUCACUUGAAGAUGGCUGUGCGGCUGAUUAGGUAGUUGGCGGGGUAACGGCCCACCAAGCCUGCGAUCAGUAACUGGUGUGAGAGCACGACCAGUCACACGGGCACUGAGACACGGGCCCGACUCCUACGGGAGGCAGCAGUAAGGAAUAUUGGUCAAUGGACGAAAGUCUGAACCAGCGAUGCCGCGUGGAGGAUGAAGGUCCUCUGGAUUGUAAACUUCUUUUAUAUGGGACGAAAAAGGGUCUUUCUAGAUCAACUGACGGUACCAUAUGAAUAAGCACCGGCUAACUCCGUGCCAGCCGCCGCCGUAAUAC